rnacentral:rRNA from 1 species
AAGCUCGUAGUUGAAAUUGUGUCUUGCGGUGUCGGUCUACCGACUGCGGUACGACAGGCACGUCUGCGGGGCUUCUCGCCGGUGCGUCCACCGCCGGCACGUUGCGGUCGUCCGCGAGGGCGGCCGCUCGUCGAGGCGGGCCGUCGCGGCUGUUUACUUUGAACAAAUUAGAGUGCUCAAAGCGGGCUAAGCUUUGCCUGAAUAUUGUACGCAUGGAAUAAUAGAAUAGGACCUCGGUUCUGUUUUGUUGGCUUUCUGAUACCAGAGGUAAUGAUUAAUAGGGACAACUGGGGGCAUUCGUAUUGCGACGUUAGAGGUGAAAUUCUUGGAUCGUCGCAAGACGGACUAAAGCGAAAGCAUUUGCCAAAGGUGUUUUCAUUAAUCAAGAACGAAAGUUAGAGGUUCGAAGGCGAUUAGAUACCGCUGUAGUUCUAACCAUAAAUGAUGCCAGCCAGCGAUCCGCCGACGUUUCAAAAAUUUAACCCGGUGGGCAGCUCCCGGGAAACCAA